GAGUUUGAUCCUGGCUCAGGAUGAACGCUAGCGGCAGGCCUAAUACAUGCAAGCUGAACGGCAAGAUUUGUAGCAAUACGAGUCCUAGAGUAGCGUAAGGGUGCGUAACACGUAUGCAAUCUACCCGCAACAGGAGGAUAGCUCUUCGAAAGAGGAAUUAAGACUCCAUAAUACCAUUUGAGGGCAUCUGAGGAUGGUUAAACUACAAGGGGUUGUGGAUGAGCAUGCGUCUGAUUAGUUAGUUGGCGGGGUAACGACCCACCAAGACGAUGAUCAGUAGGGGAACUGAGAGGUUGGUCCCCCACACUGGCACUGAGAUACGGGCCAGACUCCUACGGGAGGCAGCAGUAGGGAAUAUUGGACAAUGGGUGCAAGCCUGAUCCAGCCAUGCCGCGUGCAGGAAGACGGCCUUCUGGGUUGUAAACUGCUUUUUUCAGGGGAUAAAAGGCCCGUGCGCGGGACAUUGAAAGUACCUGGAGAAUAAGCCACGGCUAACUACGUGCCAGCAGCCGCGGUAAUACGUAGGUGGCAAGCGUUGUCCGGAUUUAUUGGGUUUAAAGGGUGCGUAGGCGGCUACUUAAGUCAGUGGUGAAAUACGGCAGCUUAACUGUCGAGGUGCCAUUGAUACUGGGUAGCUUGAGUACUGAUGAGGUAGGCGGAAUGGACGGUGUAGCGGUGAAAUGCUUAGAGAUCGUCCAGAACACCGAUAGCGAAGGCAGCUUACUAAGGAGUAACUGACGCUGAGGCACGAAAGUGUGGGGAUCAAACAGGGUUAGAUACCCUGGUAGUCCACACUGUAAACGAUGAUUACUCGAUGUGUGCGAUACACGGCACGCGUCUUAGCAAAAGCGAUAAGUAAUCCACCUGGGGAGUACGCCGGCAACGGUGAAACUCAAAGGAAUUGACGGGGGCCCGCACAAGCGGUGGAGCAUGUGGUUUAAUUCGAUGAUACGCGAGGAACCUUACC
rnacentral:rRNA from 1 species